CUUCACCGAGCCCAGGUAGAGCGGUUCGGCGCGGUCCUGGCCGUAGGUGGCCAGCAGGGCGCCCGCCUC
rnacentral:antisense_RNA from 1 species